rnacentral:rRNA from 1 species
UACGUAGGGUGCAAGCGUUAAUCGGAAUUACUGGGCGUAAAGCGUGCGCAGGCGGCUUUGCAAGACAGAUGUGAAAUCCCCGGGCUUAACCUGGGAACUGCAUUUGUGACUGCAUGGCUAGAGUGCGGCAGAGGGGGAUGGAAUUCCGCGUGUAGCAGUGAAAUGCGUAGAUAUGCGGAGGAACACCGAUGGCGAAGGCAAUCCCCUGGGCCUGCACUGACGCUCAUGCACGAAGCGUGGGAGCAACAGGAUAGAUAC